rnacentral:rRNA from 1 species
CCUACGGGGGGCAGCAGUGGGGGAUAUUGCACAAUGGGGGAAACCCUGAUGCAGCGACGCCGCGUGGGCGAAGAAGUAUUUCGGUAUGUAAAGCCCUAUCAGCAGGGAAGAAGAAAUGACGGUACCUGAGUAAGAAGCACCGGCUAAAUACGUGCCAGCAGCCGCGGUAAUACGUAUGGUGCAAGCGUUAUCCGGAUUUACUGGGUGUAAAGGGAGCGCAGGCGGCACGGCAAGCCUGAUGUGAAAGCCCGGGGCUCAACCCUGGGACUGCUCUGGAAACUGUAAAGCUGGAGUGCGGGAGGGGC